AGGAACUCUCAGUCACAGCUCUGGUAGGAGAGGACAGAGGAAAGGAGAUCAGGGCCACCAGUGCUCAUGUGGUCUUUUCCACCCCAAUGCCAUGAUCCAGCAUCAUGGUUGUGUCCGUUAUAGCUUAGAAAAAAUUGACACUUCCUCAGAGUGAAGACCAGCAGAAAAGGGCCAAGCUAUUUUUGUGCCCUCUUGGCACAGCCCACAGGAGCAGUCCUCUUCAAAGGAGAUGAAGCUGGAUCCCUGUGCCCCUAUAAGAGAAGUUGGCUGCACCCUCUGGGAAGAGCCAGCCCUGGAUUUCCAUGCCCACUGUGAACAGGUUCAGCCUGCAGUCCAUUGUCACCACGGCUAGCAUCUAAACACACCCCGUCGUGGCUUGAUGUUGUGGACGGUCAGCAGGCCCUGAGGUCUCCCUGGUGAGGUCACAGCCAGUGGAUUGCCAGUUGUUACCGAACUUUCUUCAG